UGUGAAAGACACUCUCGCCGAAAGUCCAAGGGUUCCUGCGUAAAGUUAAUCUUCGCAGGGUUAGCCGGCCCCUAAGGCGAGGCCGAAAGGCGUAGUCGAUGGGAAAUCGGUUAAUAUUCCGAUACUUGUUUAUGAUGCGAUGGAGGGACGGAGAAGGUUAUGCCAGCUUGGCGAUGGUUGUCCAAGUGGAAGGAUGUAGUUAGGUUUAGUAGGCAAAUCCGCUAG
rnacentral:rRNA from 1 species